rnacentral:lncRNA from 1 species
AUGCUCAGAGCCUCUGCAAUUAGCAGCCCACGCACCACGACUAAAGAGCCUUGCAGCAUCCAAGACCCAGCACAGCCAAAAUACAUAAAAUUAUAUAUUAAAAAACUUGAGCAUAAGUAUAAUAAAGUCCAUGUCGAUAAAGGCAUACUAUGUUCUCUUUCUCUUCUCCCCCUGUCCCCCCAGUAUUAAUUGAAUAUGGCAGUUUGGAAAAAGUACCUGUGUUGGUUAGAAGGUGGUAAGUUGUGAUUAGAAAGGACCAUCACAGAUGUAGUACAUUUCACAGAACUGUGAAGCUCAGCAAAUCGGAUUUAAGUAACAUACAGGUUGUAAGCCCUAAGGGAAAUAAAUGAGUUAAUUCUUUUAACUUUAUUAUCUAAUUAUUAUCUAACAUUCAUCUUUAGAGGUGUUAACAAGGAAAAUGUACUAGAAAUUUUAUUUUCUCAACAUUAUUUCAUAAUUUUCUAAAUGUAAAAAUGGGAAACCAUUCUUUUUAUUGAGUGCUUAAGAUGUUAAAGAGUUUUUAAAGUAGAUUUUUUUUUUAAUGUAACUUUUAUUGAACUUCUACGUUGCCAAGUCUAUUCUAGGAAUUAAAGAUAAAGCCAUGAAGAAAACAAAGUCUCAACUCUUAGAUAGUAUCGUUGGGAAAGAGACCGGCAAAAGACAAUGAACAAAGAAAUGUAAGUGUACCCAGUGGUAAUAAAUGCUAUGAAGAAGAAAGGAAAGGAGAGAGUGUGAUAAUGGAGGAGGACAGAGGGUGAUGAUUCUACCUAGGAAGCUUGGAGAAGAGCUCUCAUAAGGUGGCAUUUAACUGAAGCAGAAGGAACUGCUGAGGCAUAAAUGUUUGUUUAUAAUAAAUAUUGCCUGGAAAUUUUUGUUAACAUUUCCUGUUCUACUUAGUUCAUCUUUCUUUGCUGCUCAGUAUUUUAUUAAUAUUUACUCUUAGAAAAGCAAUUAAUGGAACACCUAAGUGCCUUCAGGCAGAGGUUUUUAAGAGUAAGGGAGUCAUAUCAGGACAUAAUAAAUAAGAGCCUAGGUGAAGAAUACACUUUCUGCCUUCUGGAUGCAUUUCUGAAGCAUCAGAUAUUUGUUCCCAUCCACCACCUGCCACUGAGGCAGAUUUCUCACUUUCAUCCUUUUUAAUAUGCAGAUAAGAAAUUUAUUUGUUAUUUAUUCCUAAGUUUUUAUUUCUUAGGAUUAGUAUUUUGUAAGGACCAGCUGAGUUACAGAUAUUUUACAUGCAUUGCUCAUUGUUUUUCAGUUUCUCAGCUUCCUUGCUUCUCAUCCAUCCCUGCCUUUCACAUCCCUAGCUACCCUCCCAUGGUCAUCUUCUUCAUGUUGACUUUAAAAUCCAUGUAACCUCUGAACUCUCUCCUUCAAGCAUCACACUUUGACCACUGCCCAUCCAGCUCCUCUGCUUUAAUGCUGCUCUCCUAGCAAUCUUUUCACUUUAUCACAACAUUAGAGUUAUUGACUUUGGUGUCGUGUUAUCCCACUCCCUCAUUUCUUCACUUCCUUGUUCUAUAGUCCAUCAUUUGAUGGAUGAAGUAAUGAAUAAACCAGUUUUCACAAAAUAACCCUAUGAGAAUUGGUUUUGUCUCCCCAUAUUACAAAAGAGAAGAGUGAAGUCCAGAGAGGUUAAUUAGGUUCGAGCCAGAAAGCUAGGAAGUGGCAGACCAGAUUUUAACCCAGAUCAGCUUCAUUCUAGUUUGAAAGAAGUGUUUGAGUACCAGCUCUGCCACCUAACAGCUGUGUGGACUUGGGCAAGUUAUUUCAUCUCUCUAACCUUCACAUUCAUCUUUAAAAUGUUUAUUGUGCCCACGUUAUACAGUUGUAGUCAUAAUUAAAUGAAAUAAGCAGUCAAAGUUAUAUAGUAAUAUAUAGCGCAAAGUGGGCAUUCAACGAAUACCGGUUUUCUUUUUCCCCAGCAUCUAGCAGAGACUUAGGAGAAAAUUAAGGUUCAUUGAUUGACUCGUGAUUGCUCUAUUAUAUCACUGUAAUGUGUGUGGUUAGUUGCUCAGUUGUGUCUGACUCUUUGCGACCCCAUGGACUGUAGUCCGUCAGGAUUCUCUGGUCAAGAAUAAGGAGUCAUAUCAGGACAUAAUAAAUAAGAGCCUAGGUGAAGAAUACACUUUCUGCCUUCUGGAUGCAUUUCUGAAGCAUCAGAUAUUUGUUCCCAUCCACCA